rnacentral:rRNA from 1 species
AGAUUGAACGCUGGCGGAAUGCUUUACACAUGCAAGUCGAACGGCAGCACGGGACUCAGGCAACUGAGCCCUGGUGGCGAGUGGCGAACGGGUGAGUAACAUAUCGGAACGUACCCAGUCGUGGGGGAUAACUCUCCGAAAGGAGAGCUAAUACCGCAUACGUCCUGAGGGAGAAAGCGGGGGACCUAAGGGUAACUGAGGGCCUCGCGCGAUUGGAGCGGCCGAUAUCGGAUUAGCUAGUUGGUGAGGUAAAGGCUCACCAAGGCGACGAUCCGUAGCGGUCUGAGAGGACGACCCGCCACACUGGAACUGAGA